rnacentral:rRNA from 1 species
AUUGAACGCUGGCGGCAGGCCUAACACAUGCAAGUCGAGCGGAGUGGCGAACGGGUGAGUAAUGUAUCGGAACGUGCCCAGUAGCGGGGGAUAACUACGCGAAAGCGUAGCUAAUACCGCAUACUAUUUGAGCGGCCGAUAUGGGAUUAGCUAGUUGGUGGGGUAACGGCUCACCAAGGCAACGAUCCGUAGCUGGGUUGAGAGGACGACCAGCCACACUGGGACUGAGACACGGCCCAGACUCCUACGGGAGGCAGCAGUGGGGAAUCUUCGGCAAUGGGGGAAAGCCUGAUCCAGCCAUGCCGCGUGUGCGAUGAAGGCCUUCGGGUUGUAAAGCACUUUUAGCAGGAAAGCGGUACCUGCAGAAUAAGCACCGGCUAACUACGUGCCAGCAGCCGCGGUAAUAC